rnacentral:tRNA from 1 species
AUUUAAAUAGCUUAAAUAAAAGCAUAAUAUUGAAGAUAUUAAGAUAUCAUUUGUUUUUAAAUA